UACGUAGGGGGCUAGCGUUGUCCGGAAUCAUUGGGCGUAAAGCGCGUGUAGGCGGCCCGGUAAGUCCGCUGUGAAAGUCGGGGGCUCAACCCUCGAAAGCCGGUGGAUACUGUCGGGCUCGAGUACGGGAGAGGCGAGUGGAAUUCCUGGUGUAGCGGUGAAAUGCGCAGAUAUCAGGAGGAACACCGAUUGCGAAGGCAGCUCGCUGGAACGUUACUGACGCUGAGACGCGAAAGCGUGGGGAGCAAACAUG
rnacentral:rRNA from 1 species